UGGGGAAUCUUGCACAAUGGGGGCAACCCUGAUGCAGCGACGCCGCGUGAGCGAUGAAGCCCUUCGGGGCGUAAAGCUCUUUCGACCGGAACGAUAAUGACGGUACCGGAAGAAUAAGCACCGGCUAACUUCGUGCCAGCAGCCGCGGUAAUACGAAGGGUGCAAGCGUUACUCGGAAUUACUGGGCGUAAAGCGUGCGUAGGUGGUUGUUUAAGUCUGAUGUGAAAGCCCUGGGCUCAACCUGGGAAUGGCAUUGGAAACUGGGCAGCUAGAGUGCGGUAGAGGGUAGUGGAAUUCCCGGUGUAGCAGUGAAAUGCGUAGAGAUCGGGAGGAACAUCUGUGGUGAAGGCGACUGCCUGGACCAGCACUGACACUGAGGCACGAAAGCGUGGGGAGCAAACA
rnacentral:rRNA from 1 species